GUAAAACUCUGCGCAGCGACGCCGGGAGUCACUUGCGCCUCAGCCUCCGGAGGAACCGCAGCAGCGCCCGUCGUCCCGUGGAAAGUCGAGUCGAAGAAGAAAUCCUGAAGAGAGCGAAGAUGCGGCUGCUAUUGGCUUCUGCUGCGCUGCUGUGGCUGAGCAGCGCGGCGGCGGAGACGGUCGAGGUGCAGCUCCAGCAGGGCGCCAUCGUGGGCUCGAGGUCCGAGGCCAAGGGCGGCAGGCCUUCUACGGCUUCCUGGGCAUUCCCUUCGCUCAGCCUCCGGUCGGGGCACUCAGGUUCAAGGAUCCCGUGGCCGCCGGGGCGUGGUGAGGG